rnacentral:lncRNA from 1 species
UGUUUUAUGUCACACGAUUUCGCCAAAUUUGUGAAGAUUCCAAGCAAGAGAAAGGGUUUAAACAUAGGUUUUGAUUCACCUCAUGAAUUAUACUGAUGUCAUGUUCCCCCUUUAUAUUUGAAUGACUUUGUCACAGCUCUAAACAGUAAGACCAUUAACAUUACAAUACAUCCUAACUGGCACCCCAAAAUUACUCUUAUGUAAUCAACUGUUUCAUCAACAAGAAGCAUAAAAUAAAGAGCUCCGCCAUUUUUUAUCACCCGUCCUAUCGAACCUUUUCUAAAGAUACUGUCCUGGAAAACAAAUGUUUUGCCUCAAGUAUGCACUUCCACACAUUUUCGGGCAAUACUCUGGGCGUUCAUGUAGCUUCAUGGCUCCAUGGUGGCUCUACACUUGGCAUGGAGACUCCCAUGGUGGUGGUUCAGUCUGGAUGGGCUUGGUAGGCGUGGUGGAUAGUGGUGGUUCAGUCUGGGUGGGCUUGGUAGGCGUGGUGGAUAGUGGUGGUUCAGUCUGGAUGGACUUGGUAGGCGUGGUGGAUAGUGGUGGUUCAGUCUGGAUGGGCUUGGUAGGCGUGGUGGAUAGUGGUGGUUCAGUCUGGAUGGACUUGGUAGGUGUGGUGGAUAGUGGUGGUUCAGUCUGGAUGGACUUGGUAGGCGUGGUGGAUAGUGGUGGUUCAGUCUGGAUGGACUUGGUAGGCGUGGUGGAUAGUGGUGGUUCAG